rnacentral:rRNA from 1 species
GGGGGGGGGGGGGGGGGGGGGGGGGGGGGGGGGGGGGGGGGGGGGGGGGGGGCGGGGGGGGGGGGCGCGGGUGGCGAAGGGGGGAGUGACACGGGAGUAGCCUGCCCUUGACUUUGGGAGAACGUCAGGGAACUGGGGCGAAUACCGGAUAGGAGCUCCGGCGGCAUGGUGGGGGUUGGAAAGUUGCGGCGGGUGGGGAUGGACUCGCGGCUUAUCAGCUUGUUGGUGGGGUAGUGGCUUACCAAGGCUUUGACGGGUAGCCGGCCUGAGAGGGUGACCGGCCACAUUGGGACUGAGAUACGGCCCAGACUCCUACGGGAGGCAGCAGUGGGGAAUAUUGCACAAUGGGCGGAAGCCUGAUGCAGCAACGCCGCGUGCGGGAUGACGGCCUUCGGGUUGUAAACCGCUUUCGCCUGUGACGAAGCGUGAGUGACGGUAAUGGGUAAAGAAGCACCGGCUAACUACGU